CCUACGGGAGGCAGCAGUGGGGAAUAUUGGGCAAUAGAGGAAACUCUGACCCAGCGACGCCGCGUGAGGGAUGAAGGCCUUCGGGUUGUAAACCUCUUUCAGUAGGGAAGAAGCGAAAGUGACGGUACCUACAGAAGAAGCACCGGCUAACUAUAUGCCAGCAGCCGCGGUAAUACAUAGGGUGCAAGCGUUGUCCGGAAUUAUUGGGCGUAAAGAGCUCGUAGGUGGUUCGAUACGUCGGAUGUGAAAAUCAGGGGCUCAACCCCUGACCUGCAUCCGAUACGGUCGAGCUAGAGUUUGGUAGGGGAGACUGGAAUUCCUGGUGUAGCGGUGGAAUGCGCAGAUAUCAGGAGGAACACCGAUGGCGAAGGCAGGUCUCUGGGCCAAUACUGACACUGAGGAGCGAAAGCGUGGGGAGCGAACAGGAUUAGAUACCCUGGUAGUCCACGCCGUAAACGGUGGGCGCUAGUUGUGCGAACCUUCCACGGUUUGUGCGACGCAGCUAACGCAUUAAGCGCCCCGCCUGGGGAGUACGAUCGCAAGAUUAAAACUCAAAGGAAUUGACGG
rnacentral:rRNA from 1 species